UUAAGCGACUAAGCGUACACGGUGGAUGCCCUGGCAGUCAGAGGCGAUGAAGGACGUGCUAAUCUGCGAUAAGCGCCGGUAAGGUGAUAUGAACCGUUAUAACCGGCGAUUUCCGAAUGGGGAAACCCAGUGUGAUUCGUCACACUAUCAUUAACUGAAUCCAUAGGUUAAUGAGGCGAACCGGGGGAACUGAAACAUCUAAGUACCCCGAGGAAAAGAAAUCAACCGAGAUUCCCCCAGUAGCGGCGAGCGAACGGGGAGGAGCCCAGAGCCUGAAUCAGCAUGUGUGUUAGUGGAAGCGUCUGGAAAGGUGCGCGAUACAGGGUGACAGCCCCGUACACAAAAGCGCAUGUGCUGUGAGCUCGAUGAGUAGGGCGGGACACGUGGUAUCCUGUCUGAAUAUGGGGGGACCAUCCUCCAAGGCUAAAUACUCCUGACUGACCGAUAGUGAACCAGUACCGUGAGGGAAAGGCGAAAAGAACCCCGGCGAGGGGAGUGAAAAAGAACCUGAAACCGUGUACGUACAAGCAGUGGGAGCACAGGUUUACCUGUGUGACUGCGUACCUUUUGUAUAAUGGGUCAGCGACUUAUAUUCUGUAGCAAGGUUAACCGUAUAGGGGAGCCGUAGGGAAACCGAGUCUUAACCGGGCGUUAAGUUGCAGGGUAUAGACCCGAAACCCGGUGAUCUAGCCAUGGGCAGGUUGAAGGUUGGGUAACACUAACUGGAGGACCGAACCGACUAAUGUUGAAAAAUUAGCGGAUGACCUGUGGCUGGGGGUGAAAGGCCAAUCAAACCGGGAGAUAGCUGGUUCUCCCCGAAAGCUAUUUAGGUAGCGCCUCGUGAAUUCAUCUCCGGGGGUAGAGCACUGUUUCGGCUAGGGGGCCAUCCCGGCUUACCAACCCGAUGCAAACUGCGAAUACCGGAGAAUGUUAUCACGGGAGACACACGGCGGGUGCUAACGUCCGUCGUGAAGAGGGAAACAACCCAGACCGCCAGCUAAGGUCCCAAAGUCAUGGUUAAGUGGGAAACGAUGUGGGAAGGCCCAGACAGCCAGGAUGUUGGCUUAGAAGCAGCCAUCAUUUAAAGAAAGCGUAAUAGCUCACUGGUCGAGUCGGCCUGCGCGGAAGAUGUAACGGGGCUAAACCAUGCACCGAAGCUGCGGCAGCGAACGUAUCACCCAAGACAACUUUACGGAGUUGACGAUUGACGGAGCGAAGCGACGUCAAAGCGUUCAUUAAAGUCGAGUUGGCUUAGGGAUACGUUCGUUGGGUAGGGGAGCGUUCUGUAAGCCUGUGAAGGUGUGUCGUGAGGCAUGCUGGAGGUAUCAGAAGUGCGAAUGCUGACAUAAGUAACGAUAAAGCGGGUGAAAAGCCCGCUCGCCGGAAGACCAAGGGUUCCUGUCCAACGUUAAUCGGGGCAGGGUGAGUCGACCCCUAAGGCGAGGCCGAAAGGCGUAGUCGAUGGGAAACGGGUUAAUAUUCCCGUACUUGGUGUUACUGCGAAGGGGGGACGGAGAAGGCUAUGUUGGCCGGGCGACGGUUGUCCCGGUUUAAGCGUGUAGGUGUGUGUUCCAGGUAAAUCCGGUUCACUUUAACACUGAGGCGUGACGACGAGGCACUACGGUGCUGAAGCAACAAAUGCCCUGCUUCCAGGAAAAGCCUCUAAGCAUCAGGUAACAUCAAAUCGUACCCCAAACCGACACAGGUGGUCAGGUAGAGAAUACCAAGGCGCUUGAGAGAACUCGGGUGAAGGAACUAGGCAAAAUGGUGCCGUAACUUCGGGAGAAGGCACGCUGACACGUAGGUGAAGUGAUUUACUCAUGGAGCUGAAGUCAGUCGAAGAUACCAGCUGGCUGCAACUGUUUAUUAAAAACACAGCACUGUGCAAACACGAAAGUGGACGUAUACGGUGUGACGCCUGCCCGGUGCCGGAAGGUUAAUUGAUGGGGUCAGCGUAAGCGAAGCUCCUGAUCGAAGCCCCGGUAAACGGCGGCCGUAACUAUAACGGUCCUAAGGUAGCGAAAUUCCUUGUCGGGUAAGUUCCGACCUGCACGAAUGGCGUAAUGAUGGCCAGGCUGUCUCCAUCCGAGACUCAGUGAAAUUGAACUCGCUGUGAAGAUGCAGUGUACCCGCGGCAAGACGGAAAGACCCCGUGAACCUUUACUAUAGCUUGACACUGAACAUUGAGCCUUGAUGUGUAGGAUAGGUGGGAGGCUUUGAAGUGUGGACGCCAGUCUGCAUGGAGCCGACCUUGAAAUACCACCCUUUAAUGUUUGAUGUUCUAACGUGGACCCGUAAUCCGGGUUGCGGACAGUGUCUGGUGGGUAGUUUGACUGGGGCGGUCUCCUCCUAAAGAGUAACGGAGGAGCACGAAGGUUGGCUAAUCCUGGUCGGACAUCAGGAGGUUAGUGCAAUGGCAUAAGCCAGCUUGACUGCGAGCGUGACGGCGCGAGCAGGUGCGAAAGCAGGUCAUAGUGAUCCGGUGGUUCUGAAUGGAAGGGCCAUCGCUCAACGGAUAAAAGGUACUCCGGGGAUAACAGGCUGAUACCGCCCAAGAGUUCAUAUCGACGGCGGUGUUUGGCACCUCGAUGUCGGCUCAUCACAUCCUGGGGCUGAAGUAGGUCCCAAGGGUAUGGCUGUUCGCCAUUUAAAGUGGUACGCGAGCUGGGUUUAGAACGUCGUGAGACAGUUCGGUCCCUAUCUGCCGUGGGCGCUGGAGAACUGAGGGGGGCUGCUCCUAGUACGAGAGGACCGGAGUGGACGCAUCACUGGUGUUCGGGUUGUCAUGCCAAUGGCACUGCCCGGUAGCUAAAUGCGGAAGAGAUAAGUGCUGAAAGCAUCUAAGCACGAAACUUGCCCCGAGAUGAGUUCUCCCUGAGACUUAGAGUCUCCUGAAGGAACGUUGAAGACGACGACGUUGAUAGGCCGGGUGUGUAAGCGCAGCGAUGCGUUGAGCUAACCGGUACUAAUGAACCGUGAGGCUUAACCU
rnacentral:rRNA from 1 species